UGAGUCUGAAGUUGCUAGUUUCAUUCUAUCGAGUAUCACGUCGUGAACUCAUUCCAUUAAAAUUGAUUGUAUUUGUAGAGCAUAUUAAUCCUUCCAUUACAUCACACUGGUUGUCGAAUGGAAGUGAAAUGACUUUGAUGAAAAAGUAAUGUUAUGUUGGUGAGCGACUGAGCGGGAAGAAAGCUUACUGUGUCUAUUGUAUGCUAUUGUUUAUUGUUUUGAAGACUGUUUACCAGUUCAUUUAUAGGGACUGGCUUAACAAGAAAUGGAAGUUGCAAAAGGGGAGUGUUCAUUAAUGGGUGUAAACCACACAUUGUUGCUACCAAUAUGCAAUGCAGCAGUCUCAUCAUGUUGUCCUCCAGAUGCACCUUCGCGAUUUCCCCGAAGAAAGAUUUGUGUGUUAAUAUCAAUCUAGGUGCUUUGAAAAUUCAGACUGAGAGAGGAAUACAACUAACUGGUAAAACCGACUCAACGAAAGAAGGUUGGACCCACGGGAAUAUGGAACAAGGUUAUCUGCCGAGGAUCAACGAGAAAGGGGAGGAAAUUCCACCGCCAGUGCCGUGCCAAUCAAA